GCGUAGCUCAGCUGGUAGAGCAACUGACUUUUAAUCAGUAGGUCCAGGGUUCGAACCCCUGCG
rnacentral:ncRNA from 14 species